UAAGACAGAGGCCCCGAGCGUUAGGCGGAAUCACUGGGCUUAAAGCGUGUGUAGGCGGACGCCUAAGUACCUCGGUGAAAUCCCACGGCUCACCCGUGGAACGGCUGGGUAUACUGGGCGUCUUGGGCCACUUAGGGGCGACCGGAACAAGCGGUGGAGCGGUGAAAUGCGUAGAUAUCGCUUGGAACGCCGACGGUGAAAACAGGUCGCUGGGAGUGCGCCGACGCUGAGACACGAAAGCCAGGGGAGCGAACGGGAUUAGAUACCCCGGUAGUCCUGGCCCUAAACGAUGUCCACUAGAUCGCGGCGGGUUUGACCCCGUCGCGGUCGGAGCAAAAGUGUUAAGUGGACCGCCUGGGAAGUACGGUCGCAAGGCUA
rnacentral:rRNA from 1 species